rnacentral:rRNA from 1 species
UACAGAGGUGCCGAGCGUUAGGCGGAAUCACUGGGCUUAAAGCGUGUGUAGGCGGACGUCUAAGUACCUUGUGAAAUCCCACGGCUCACCCGUGGAACUGCUGGGUAUACUGGGCGUCUUGAGCCACCUAGGGGCCAGCGGAACAAAUGGUGGAGCGGUGAAAUGCGUAGAUAUCAUUUGGAACGCCAACGGUGAAAAACAGCUGGCUGGGGGGUGUGCUGGACGCUGAGACACGAAAGCCAGGGGAGCGAACGGGG